UAGUUCAUCAAAUAGUAGCGCUGUUAUUUGGUCAAUUUGGUCACCUGUCAGCUGCGCUACUGUUUUAGCAGCGCGUUUAGUAGCGACCGGUAAAGUGUCAAGUAAUGAUACUGCGCUGACAAACGGCUUAUACUCACCACCGAAAUGAAGCUUAUGAUAAAUAAAAUACUGCUGCUUGCUGGUCACUGAUUGAAGAUCGUUCAGUGGCUACCAUUGGCCAAUCUCACCAACGGGAUAUAAUAAGAACUGAUGCAGGUUUAUAUCUAUUCGGAACAAAGUUAGUACAGUUUUUAAACCGAUGUUGGAUUUUUCUCCAGAUACAGGCAACCCACUUAACUUUGGAAGUAGUGCGCUGGAUUCGUCUAAAGAUAUGUUAAACAUCCGGAGGAAAAUAAAAUGAUAUGUAAAACAAUUAA